rnacentral:lncRNA from 1 species
AUGCAUUUUAAAGACAGUAGACUAUACAUUUUCUAUUGUGUCUUUUGAAAAAAAGUAAACUCAAGAGGAUUCUAAAAGUAUACAUAUGUGUGCUUUCUCUUUCCUUUUAGGAAUUCUCUUCUGAAUUCCCUGAGGGAAUUUUCUAGAAUCUCAGAAUUGAAAGAGCCCUGAGGUUCAUCCAAGUCUAACCUCUUAACCAAUGCAGGAGUCCCUUCUACAAGGGUGAUCUUUCCACCUUGAAUACUUCCAGUGACUCUACCUCACCAAGCAGUCCAUUCAGUUGUUGAGCAGCUCUGUUAGAAAGGUCUUCCUUAGAUGGAGUUGAAGCCUCCCUUCUGGUAACUUCUGUCCUUGGGGCCAACUAGGUCUGUGCUCUGAGAGAACGUUGGAAAGAUGAAUCUCCAGCCCUCUGCCAUGUCGCCUCUUUCACAGGCUGUUUGACUCCUUUGCUGAAGGGAUUUUUCAGAAGGACUCAUUAGAUGCCCUGUUAGAUUUAUCACAUCUAAUGAAACCCAAGGUGUAGUUAUAAAGUAACUAGCUCUUUUUAGUGUACCAUCACACAUGGCAGAACUUAGAUCCUGUAUCACUUUGUGUAAAUGGUGCUGUUACUAGAAACAUUUGUGAAGUGGUCCUUGCAAUUGCUAGUGCGCUAAAAAAACUGUUCCAUUGCUUUGUGGUUGCGUGUGUGACCGUCUGCCCCCCAGCUUGACCAGCCACUUCUUUUGGUGUGCACCUGGUGAGGGGACCUCCCAAGUGCUGUCCCAGAUAGCAUGUGCACGACACCAGUAUCUGCAGUAAGUACAGGGACCACUUUAGUGAGUGGACACAGCGCCCCUGAAAGCUUCUUUAUAGUUACACCUUGUGUGUCAGGUGCCCAGGCUCUGUUCUGUGGUGUUUUUCAUCCUCACACAGAGCAGAAAGGCUGGUUUACUUUCUUUAACUUCUCCGUGAAAGGUAACAUCCGAAAUUUCUGAUUCUGUGUAUUAUAAUACCAGUUUCUGCUCACAAACAACUUUGGGGAAAUAAAUGGUGAUAACAGUAAAGACCUCCUUUAAUAGGACAUUCAACUCAAACAGUGCCAUUUAGUUCAGGAAAAUCUCUAAAUGUAGCUGUAAAUUUGGGAAUUUAAUUUGGCUUAUAUUGGACCUUUUAAAUGAAAUAAAGUUUUUUAAUACAAUAAAUCGUGU